AUUGAACGCUGGCGGCAUGCUUUACACAUGCAAGUCGAACGGUAACAGGCCGCAAGGUGCUGACGAGUGGCGAACGGGUGAGUAAUGCAUCGGAACGUGCCCAGUCGUGGGGGAUAACGCAGCGAAAGCUGCGCUAAUACCGCAUACGAUCUAUGGAUGAAAGCGGGGGACCGUAAGGCCUCGCGCGAUUGGAGCGGCCGAUGUCAGAUUAGGUAGUUGGUGGGGUAAAGGCCCACCAAGCCAACAAUCUGUAGCUGGUCUGAGAGGACGACCAGCCACACUGGGACUGAGACACGGCCCAGACUCCUACGGGAGGCAGCAGUGGGGAAUUUUGGACAAUGGGCGCAAGCCUGUUCCAGCAAUGCCGCGUGCAGGAAGAAGGCCUUCGGGUUGUAAACUGCUUUUGUACGGAACGAAACGGUUCGGGUUAAUACCCUGGGCUAAUGACGGUACCGUAAGAAUAAGCACCGGCUAACUACGUGCCAGCCGCCGCGGUAAUAC
rnacentral:rRNA from 1 species